UACGGAGGGUGCAAGCGUUGUUCGGAAUCAUUGGGCGUAAAGCGCGUGUAGGCGGCUUGGCAAGUCGGGUGUGAAAUCCCGGGGCCCAACCCCGGAACUGCAUUCGAAACUGCCUCGCUAGAGUCCCGGAGAGGAAGGCGGAAUUCCCGGUGUAGAGGUGAAAUUCGUAGAUAUCGGGAGGAACACCAGCGGCGAAGGCGGCCUUCUGGACGGUGACUGACGCUGGGACGCGAAAGCGUGGGGAGCUAACAGG
rnacentral:rRNA from 1 species